rnacentral:rRNA from 1 species
CCUACGGGUGGCAGCAGUGAGGAAUAUUGGUCAAUGGGCGGAAGCCUGAACCAGCCAAGUAGCGUGCAGGAUGACGGCCCUACGGGUUGUAAACUGCUUUUAUACGGGAAUAACGCGCCUUACGUGUAGGGCUUUGCAUGUACCGUAUGAAUAAGGAACGGCUAAUUCCGUGCCAGCCGCCGCGGUAAUACGGAAGGUCCGGGCGUUAUCCGGGUUUAUUGGGGUUAAAGGGAGUGUAGGCCGCAUGUCAAGCGUGCUGUGAAAUGUCCGGGCCCAACCCGGGCCUGGCAGCGCGAACUGGCGUGCUUGAGUCGGCGGAAAGCAGGCGGAAGUCGUCGUGUAGCGGUGAAAUGCUUAGAUAUGACGAAGAACCCCGAUUGCGAAGGCAGCUUGCUGCAGCGGAACUGACGCUGAUGCUCGAAAGCGCGGGUAUCGAACAGGAUUAGAUACCCCGGUAGUC